UAUCAGUUGGUAAGAAUAAUAAAGAAAUUUGGCAGAACUGAAAAAUGUUUUGAAUUGGGUUAUCCAAUUGUUCGUGAAAAUUUCUGUUCUGAAAUUCCUGUAAAAAUCUCUUUAAGAAAUGAAAUGCUUAUUGGCAAGUUUGAAAAGGUAAGUGUUACUAGCAGUUGUAAGAAUUUGCAUUGAUGUUUACAGGUACAAGACAUUCUUUCAAUCUGAGCUUUGUUGCUGUGGAGAUAAAAUCACUUUUCUACAAUAAAACCAAGCUGGCAGAAAUGCUUAAACCACUACCGCACUGAAAAACCUAUACAAGGACCAAGGCUGCGCAAGAAAUUCAAAGACAUAGAAAUGGCCGCAGUGAAGUUUCUUCUUGCAUUUACGCUCUUGGCACUGGUUUUGAGUUUUGCUACCGCUUCAAACAAGGAAGAGCAAAAACACGAUGCAUGCAUCAAGGGCGCCCAGGAGGAAAAUCGGCUGUGUAAGAGCCAUUGCAAGGAAAUGAAGGAAGAGCUUCCACUUCAAAAAGAAUGCUUUGAAGAUUGCAAAUUCUUUUUGAAGGAAUCGAUCAAAGAUUGCAAGAAAUAUCACUUGGCUGAGGCCUGAAAACUUGGGUUCCCGUGAAAGAUAUUUGCUAACGAUGAUAAAAACUAACUGUAUAAUGCUUAUAAAUGAAAAAUGAUUUAUUUCAGAAGAGAAUUAACAAAUGCUAUCGUUUAAUCUAUGUAACAAAGCCAACCUUGAAAACAAUAUAAAAAUGACUACUGAAUUGUGUCACA